CUCUUAAUUUGAGACAGAUCCAAUUUCAUUCAAUGAACUACAUAGCCAUCUCAUGACUCAUGAAAUACUGUUUAACAAUUAAUGUAUUCUACCAAUUGCAAACGUCACUCAAAAGGUUCAAACUCAACCUAAUCUUAUCACCACACAAUCAUUCUCCUCCUCAUGCCCGCAACGCAGAAACAAGGAGCCAUGCCAAAUAUGGAAUCUACAAUCACACUACAUAUAGGUGUAGGAGAAGGUAUGAACCACAAUCAUGUACUAGUGGUCAAGUCAACUUUGUGCACUUAGAAACAAUAAAUCCCAAUCAUACCUAACAAACACCAAGCUCAUUAACUAAGGAACAAAUUACCAUGUCACUCCAGACUUAGUAGCACUGCAUAUUGCAUAUCCGUACCUAGGUAACGAUCAAAAAAGGGUUUGUUAAUGGACAAGGUUUGGACAUAACUUAUGUUGGAAAUGUUCACCUCACUGAUACAAAC
rnacentral:lncRNA from 1 species